CAAGAGGUCGUGGACCCUACUCUAGUUCGUCAGCAUACUCAUCUGAUGCAAAAAACUACCAACGAAGAGGCCUGCAGAGUCACCUCCAGAAGUAGUUGAGAAGUCUCAUUGAACGUGUGGUGAGAAAGAUUUGUCAGGACCAGACAGAUUGCGUUCUUGUGACUCCAGUUUGGCCAACACAGCCAUGGUUCAACUGUGUACUAGAGAUAUUGGUGGAUCAUCCAUAAUUUUACCAGUGACAGACAAUCUGUUGACUCUUCCGGGCACAGAUGUGCAGCAACCUCUGAAGAACUCGUUAGUGCUGAUGGCAUGUUGAUUGUCCGGUUGCAGUUCCAAAAACGAGGAAUUUCUCGCCAAGCAGCCUCCAUCCUAUUGGGAUCAUGGAAGUCCGGAACCAAGAAACAAUAUAAAACGUUUUAUAAGAGAUGGUUUCAGUACUGUGGUGAAAAAUCGGUUGAUCCAUUUAGUACAACUAUAGAAACUGUUGUUGAAUUUUUAGCAUAUCUUUUUCACCAAGGUUUAGGUUAUAGUGCUAUUAAUAGAGCCCGAGGAGCUUUAUCUUCUGUUGGUUUGAUUUUUGAUGGUUUUUCUGUUGAAUGUCAUCCAUUGGUUAUAAGAUUUAUGAAAGGUGUUUUUGACCUGAGACCAUCAAAAUCAAGAUAUGUACAUACAUGGGAUGCAUCUAUUGUUUUAAUUAAAAGUACCUGAGAAAAUUGUCACCUGUUAAAUUUUUGAGUUUGAAAAACUUGACAUUGAAGUUAGUUAUGUUGAUUAGUUUAAUUUGUGCAAGUAGAGUACAAACUAUUUCAUGUAUGAAACUUAGUAAUAUGACAAAAAGGAAGAACAGUUUUGUCUUCACUUUUAGUGAACUUUUGAAAACAUGUAGACCUAACAGUAGCAUGUCUGACAUGGUUUUAAAAUCUUAUCCUCCAGAUAGGAGGCUUUGUGUUUACCUUGUUUUAUGUGAGUAUAUAUCUCGGACUGCAAGAAUAAGAAAGAAAUGUGAUUCAUUGUUCAUUAGUUAUACUGUUGAUACCACUAUUUUUAAGGCUCACAGUGUUCGAGCUGCUUCUGUGUCCAAAGCAAAAGGGAACUUUGUUCCUGUUGAUGAUAUUUUGACAAAAGUAGGAUGGUCCAAUGUUGAAACCUUCCGAAAGUUUUAUGAUAAACCUGUUGUCAAUAAUGACAAGUAUUCAAAUG